rnacentral:rRNA from 1 species
UACGGAGGGUGCAAGCGUUGUUCGGAAUUACUGGGCGUAAAGCGCGUGUAGGCGGUCAGGUAAGUCAGAUGUGAAAGCCUUCCGCUUAACGGAAGAAGGGCAUUUGAAACUGCCUGGCUAGAGUACGGGAGAGGAGAGUGGAAUUCCCGGUGUAGAGGUGAAAUUCGUAGAUAUCGGGAGGAACACCAGUGGCGAAGGCGGCUCUCUGGCCCGACACUGACGCUGAGACGCGAAAGCGUGGGGAGCAAACAGG